AGGGUGCAAACGUUGUUCGGAAUUACUGGGCGUAAAGCGCACGCAGGCGGUUUGUUAAGCUAGAUGUGAAAGCCCCGGGCUCAACCUGGGAUGGUCAUUUAGAACUGGCAGACUAGAGUCUUGGAGAGGGGAGUGGAAUUCCAGGUGUAGCGGUGAAAUGCGUAGAUAUCUGGAGGAACAUCAGUGGCGAAGGCGACUGCCUGGACUGAUACUGACACUGAGGUGCGAAAGCGUGGGGAGC
rnacentral:rRNA from 1 species